AGGAUGUUGCAAAGAUCUUCAAGCUACACAUAUAAAUCUGCCAGGCAUGUCCAACGCACUUUUCCAGCAUUCCUAGGGAUAGGACACUGAUUGGUUAGAUCAAUGGGUGGGUGUGGAAAGCACAAGAAAGAAGAAUCAGGUAAACAUGAAAAAGAAUCAUAUUCAUCUGCUGUUUUCAGUCUUCGGAGUGAGGCAUGUCCCUUUAAAUUUGAAAUUCAUUUUCAAUUUACUUUGAAUGCCCAAUUGUUUUCACGUUAG